AACGAACGCUGGCGGCGCGCCUAAUACAUGCAAGUCGAGCGAGAAGACGUAGCAAUACGUUUGUAAAGCGGCGAACGGGUGAGGAAUACAUGGGUAACCUACCCUCAAGUGGGGAAUAACCAGCCGAAAGGUUAGCUAAUACCGCGUACGCUCCUUGGACUUCGGUUCAGGGAGGAAAGCGAUACCGUGGGUAUCGCGCUCUUGGAUGGGCUCAUGUCCUAUCAGCUUGUUGGUGAGGAACGGCUCACCAAGGCUUCGACGGGUAGCUGGUCUGAGAGGACAAUCAGCCACACUGGCACUGCGAC
rnacentral:rRNA from 1 species